rnacentral:rRNA from 1 species
AUUGAACGCUGGCGGCGUGCUUAACACAUGCAAGUCGAGCGGCAGCGCGGGAGCAAUCCUGGCGGCGAGCGGCGAACGGGUGAGUAAUGCUUCGGAAUCUGCCCUUCAGUGGGGAAUAACCAGUCGAAAGACUGGCUAAUACCGCAUACGAACUGAGGUUGAAAGCAGGGGAUCGCAAGACCUUGCGCUGAUGGAUGAGCCGAAGUCGGAUUAGCUGUGUGGGUAUGGCUACCAAGGCGACGAUCCGUAGCUGGUCUGAGAGGACGACCAGCCACACUGGGACUGAGACACGGCCCAGACUCCUACGGGAGGCAGCAGUGGGGAAUAUUGGACAAUGGGGGCAACCCUGAUCCAGCGACGCCGCGUGUGUGAAGAAGGCCUGCGGGUUGUAAAGCACUUUUAGUGGGAGGAAGGUCUGCGACCUAACACGUCGUGGAAUUGACUUAACCCACAGAAAAGCACCGGCUAACUCUGUGCCA